GGAUUAUCCUGGGCUGUGUCCUAAAGGUCACUUGGGAGUGCGUAAGAAAUCCCAGCAACAAGAAGUGGGGUACACAUACCUGGUGGCCAAAGAAGAAAUGAUGGACAAGCCUCCAAACAGAGUCGCCCUAACUCGUACCCAAAAACCGUCACUGAGGAUAUUAUCCAGAAUCCCAAGAUACCAGGAGCCAGCUUUAGGCGGCACUAAGGAUCUUAUGUGACGAGGUGGCUGAUGUUGGAAAAAGGAUAGAUACCCUGUGAAGAUCUACUCUACUGAGUCAAUCAUCCACAGUUCCGAGAGGAGCCAUCCCCACUCCUUAACUUGAAUGAACAUUCAAGAAUUACCUGCUGGUGCACGUGUGUCUAAUCUAGGACUCAAUGAGACAAUGAUUCUCAGGCCACAGUAAGACUCAAUUGAGCCUAAGAGACUAGAGUUGGUAGCCUGGAGGAAGCUGACCGGCGAAGCCUCCUGAGGAUGGAGAGCAAGAGAUGCCCCUGGAAAGAACACAUCCAGCUGUCAGACGCUAUCUGAAUCCUAGGAAUGCGUUCCUUGCUUCUGAUUCCAGCACCACUAAGCUGACAUUGUUGCCCUCUGGGCAGCUUUUCAAAGGCAGGGGUCACACCAUGAGCUUGGUUUGGUUAUCCGUCUAAAAGUUAUAUCUUCCAUUCUGGAAACACUAACUGACGGAUGUUAUUGCUUGAGACAGCAAUCAGGCGCGGAGAUCAUUUGCAUAAUGGAGUGAAGUGUCGAACUGUGUUUUCUAGUCUACACAACUUGCAAGGCAAAUGCAUUAAACUCAGCCAUUGUGCCUCUGUU
rnacentral:lncRNA from 1 species